CCAGAAACUCACACUCUCAUCAAAGCAGAAGCGGUAGCUGGGCUACACCAUAAACCUGUCUCUCUCACUAUCAUUCACCAAUUGCUGUUUUCCUGUUCAUGCAGCCUUUAGGACGAUCGACUAGCCUGUGUCCUGAUUCGAUGUACAACUAGAAAACAAGGAAUUUCCAAAGGACCUGGGAUCUUUUAUGUUUAAAUACAACUCCUUCAGGCCUGCUGAGAUGCUCCUGAGUUUUUGCAUCAAGCAUGCAGGCUACACACUGAGAUGCUACUCAUAUAACUGUAAGGAUUUCCAGUUGAUGCCUAAAUGGAUUUUUCUAGAAGAAAGAGUAUCUUCAGAGAGCAAAUGAAGACCCUUCUUAAUGUAAUAUGAGAAGCAGUUUCAAAUGUCUCAAGACUGCUUUUCCUCCUGACCCUUUAAAUCAACAGCUGGGACUACCAGCUUCAUUUUGUGUUUGUUUUUGACUGCUACCACGCAGACAUCAGCAGGGUAAAGACCACUGCUCCAUGUAUUCAUCUUCGUAGACCCAGGAAGCACAUAAUACAUGUCUGUUGAAUGACUCAAAGAAUUACUGCAGAAAAAUUAUCUUUUGAGACCUUCACUGUUUUCCUAUUGCAUUUCUGUCUGGCAUACUCAAAACAUUGAUUUUUAAACUACUUUAGCAAACCACUAAAAUAAGAGAAGGAAAAAAAAAACCCACAAAAGCAUGCCUUUAACUAUGCGUAGCUUUUUUGUGGUUUUUACUUUUACAUGUGAAAGAUUAUAUUAAAACACUAGCUCGAGAAAAAUGGUUUUUAAUUGUUUUACAUGAUUCAUAAUCUUCAUUACUGUAUAAGGUGCCUGGGACAAGAUAGUCCAAAAACAAAACUAGGAGGGCAACGUAUUUUGUCAAAUUAAACUUGUAAAAGCCAA